CCUGCCAGUAGUGAUAUGCUUGUCUCAAAGAUUAAGCCAUGCAAGUCUAAGUACGAGCUCUCGUACAGCGAAACUGCGAAUGGCUCAUUAAAUCAGUUAUGGUUCAUUUGAUCGUAUGGUUUACUUGGAUAACUGUGGUAAUUCUAGAGCUAAUACAUGCAAACAGCGCCGACUUCGCGGGAGGCGUGCUUUUAUCAGACCAAAAACCGACCGCGGCUCCGGCCGCGUUCGACUGGUGACUCUGGAUAACCUGGCGGAUCGCACGGUCUAGCACCGGCGACGGAUCAUUCAAGUGUCUGCCCUAUCAACUUUCGUCGGUACGGUAUUCGCCUACCGAGGUUCUUACGGGUAACGGGGAAUCAGGGUUCGAUUCCGGAGAGGGAGCCUGAGAAACGGCUACCACAUCCAAGGAAGGCAGCAGGCGCGCAAAUUACCCAUUCCCGACGCGGGGAGGUAGUGACGAAAAAUAACAAUGCAGGACUCAUUCGAGGCCCUGUAAUUGGAAUGAGUACACUUUAAAAGCUUUAACGAGUAUCCAUUGGAGGGCAAGUCUGGUGCCAGCAGCCGCGGUAAUUCCAGCUCCAAAAGUAUAUAUUUAAGUUGUUGCGGUUGAAAAGCUCGUAGUUGGAUUUUGGGCGCGGGCGGUCGGUCCGUCGCGAGGCGUGUACUGGUCGACCCGGCCUUACGUCCGGUUCUCCGGCGGUGCUCUUGACUGAGUGUCGGCGGCGGCCGGAAAGUUUACUUUGAAAAAAUUAGAGUGUUCAAAGCAGGCUCUCGAGCCUGAAUAAUGGUGCAUGGAAUAAUGGAAUAGGACCUCGGUUCUAUUUUGUUGGUUUUCGGAGCGCAGAAAAUUGAAUGUUUUUAUGUUUAUAGAGGUAUGUUACUAGGAUUCCGAAAUGUCCUCUCCAGGGUGUCUCCAAUCAUUUUAAAGCAAACGUCCCAAAAUUGUACUCAAGUGAACAAAAGUUUGCCUUAUCUGUUUGGUGAAAACAAACUAUCGCCUCUAAUUUCUAAACCACAAGAAACAAACCAUGUAAUUUUAUCGAGAGUUGAUUCUGUUGGAUUUAUUCCCAAUAAGUUUGAUGAACUGAUUAUUGCAAGCAGCAUCAUGUCCAGAAUCUCAUGUCCGAGCAACCAACCAUUACCAACCCACAAUAAAUAUAACAUUGACAGCACUGAGCAUGGCAAAGUAAUAAAUGAAGGAGUGGAUGUACUAGAUGUUUUUGAUGAACCAAAUACUUCAAAUCAAACACCGCUAUACGCUCAUAAAAGUGAUAUUAGAUGGCGAAGAAGAAGAAUGAGAAGGCAUAGACUAUUAAAAUGGAGGAAAAAAUAUAAACAUCUUGUGAAACUAAGGUUGAAGCAAAAGCUGGAAAGAAGAAAAGUGCUUUUGGAUAAUGAUCUUGUCAGAAUGUGGGAAAUGUAUGGACUGAAGAAGGAACCCCCUGCAUUGACUCCUGAAGAGAAAAGCGAUUUGGUGAGAAGUUGGGAAGAAGAAGGAAUUUGGACAAAUGCAUUAACUAAAGAAGAAAUCGAAAAAUAUAUCCGAGCACAAAAGCUAAUG
rnacentral:rRNA from 1 species